rnacentral:lncRNA from 1 species
GUAGAGCUGGUGCUCAAGACAGAAGUCAGCUCUUGCUGUGAGCACAGUGCUGGUGCGAGGGUCCCGGCGGGGAGCCAACAGCCCCCACACUGCCCCAAGAUUGGCAUGGAGGCGGACAGGACGAGCUCCAGAGGACAAUGACUAGGCCCUCUUGAUAGACCUUGACCCUCUCCCUCCCAGAGCUGAGCACGGCUGUGACCUGUCAUUGCUGCUCUGCAAUCUCCUGUGAAAGGCACUACCAAAGGUAACUCCUGCUGCUGGAAGGAAGGACUACUGGAGGACCAACCUAUGCUGCUUCCUUUUCUUGAGUGAGAAUUGCCCGCUUCAGCUCAUCCUACAUGAGGGUGUGGAUGUUUCUUCUGGAUGCUUCUUCUCCUGCUCAUUAAUUGACCCCUGGACUGACACUGGCAGAGGUGUUGGCUCCUGCGGGAGGACAGGCACCGGUGGGAGCAAACCAGCCUGGAUUCCCUUCUGGAAACGAAGCAGUGGCAGGACCCACAGAGGGAGAAUUGCUCCCCUGGGGCUGCUGGGACCCAGAAGUUCCUGCCUGAGUUGUGCUCCAUGGUGUGUAGGAGCAUCACCUCUGCCCUAGGCUGGUGGCAUGCUGCACAACUUCACAGGACCAGCCUUGAGAUAUAGCUGGAGGUGCAGGAUCCCACCAGCACCAACUCACCCUGCCUCCUUCUGGCACUGUGUAUGGAUACUGCCAGUCUUCCUACACGUCCUGAGGCAGCAAAGAAACAUCUACCAGAGGUGGUGACAGGUGAUUCAGCAGGAGCUCUGGUGACUCAUCUAGCUGCUGAGGAGAUUAAAAUCAAUUCCUGCUUCAGAAAAUGACAAACUGCCCUUUGGUGUCACCCAUUAAUCUACAGCGACUGCUGGGCUGGAAAAAAAACAGUCCCUAUUUAUUAACAUAGCCACGAGAGGGAGCUCAUAAAUCCCAUGACUGCAACAAGGACAUAUGGAAAUGGACCAAUGUAGAGAUUUUAAAUUCAAUUAUUAGAAAACAGCUGGU